ACUCCCCCUCUCUCUCAGAACCCUCUCUUCCACUUCCCCUCUGAUCUCCCAGUAAAUUGUUGCUCUCUUCACUAUUUUCUUUAGUCAUUUUCUUCUUCUCCUUCUUCUUCUUCUUCUUCUUUUUUUUUUUUUUUUUUUUUUUUUUUUUUCAAUUAUAGUUCUUAAUUGUAAAGAGAUAGAGAUGGAAUGAUACUCGUAAGCAUUAAAGAAAUGAUAUUUAUUAUAAUAAAAUGAGAAAAGCACAGACUAUGAUGAAUUUGCUUUUUGGGGUUGUUAUCUAAAGGUGUUUUAGAGAUUUGAAGUAGACUUAACUACAAAUUAAUUAAGUUGAGGUUUGUUAUAGUAUAAUUUAGAUAAGCCUGAUAUAUAUACCAACAGAGAAGAUUAAAGAAUGAAAAACACAAAGUGAAGAGAAGGAUAAUUAGUGUCCCAUUUGUUGUUUGAUGUACCAGAAGAGUUAAUCAAAAAACACAUUGCUCCGUUUUUGGGUGCAGAGAACACAGAUUUAAGUCAUUUAAUGCUGCGUAUUGGUUGAUAUAUUUAAACAUCCAACCUGAACAAAUAACAGUCUACAUCUAGCAUUUGCUGUAUGGUGUGCAGUUGUUUAAUUAUGAUUACUUUUGUUUAUCAAAAUAUAGCUUUUUUCUUAUUAAGGUGAAGACUAACGUGAACUGUGACAAAUUUAUUUUUUACGAAUGCUCAAAUAUAGAUUAAAAUAUAUUAACAAGCUACCAUUAUAUAAUGAUAACAAUAGUACAAAGAAUGCACCAUUGUUUUCUAAUAUCCAAAGUCCUUGAAAUGAUAAUAAAGAUUAAGAGUGCCUAACAUGUUUGAAACUGGACUGCCUACCACAAAUACUCCCAAAUGUGAAUCUUUGAUGAGAUGGGUGUCAUAUUAAUAGAGAAAUCUGGGAACCCAGAGAAAUAGCUUUUCAAAGACAGAGGUGACUUUCCCUGUGGGCUAAGUUAGAAUUCCAGUAAUCAUCUUCUAAACACACAUACUUUUGUGGCUCUUCUAUGCUAAUUUCUGGAAAGCUUGAUUUGUAAUUGAAAACAACGCUUAAUUUCUUUAAUUUUUUUUCAUUAUUAUUAUUUUUAUUUGUGAGGUUGAUCUACUCUAAAUAUAUGCAUAUAUAACUGCAACAACAACUAAGACUUUUUUCAAUUACUUGGGUUAGGUACAUGAAUUCUAGAUUUUCAUUUCGCUAUAAUAUUUCAGGCAUAACCUCAGUCAACUUGUGUAUUCAUAGGAUCCAUGUUCAUAUUGGUUAUCACAAAGUUUUAAAUCGAUUGUCAAUCUACCUAACACAGACCUCCUCUUGUAUUCGGGCUUGAGAUCCGCGGUGUAAAAUAUGCAUGACUAUUAUAAUAUAUUUAAUGUGAGAGAGUAUAACGAUAUUUCUUAACUAAAUAAUAGAAAAUCUAAUUAAAACACUAAAUUAAAGUUUAAGGCACAUAAUUUAUUGAUAAAAAUAGCUAGCAUGAUAUUUAAAAAACAUCCCCAAGACUUGGGAUUUAGUGGUAUCUCUCCUUCUUUUCAAGUAGAAGGAAGAUGGUUCAACACUUCAAGUCUUCCUAAAAUAUUGAGGGAGUUCUUUGUCACAUGUAUUGAAAGAUGAAUAAGCUUCAUAAUUUAUCACCGGGUACGUGAACUCUUUUUUUUUUUGUUUUUCCCUAAAUGACAGAAAUUUUAUAAAUUUAUCAAGUAAAAGUACAAUUACACAUGAGGAGAGCCCUCACAAUAUCCCACAAACAAAGGGAUACACCAAAACAAAUCCUAGACCAUUUUUUUUUUUUUUUUGGAAAGUUAAGCUGGUUUUUCCAUUAAACCACUAAGGCAAAAUCCAUACACCUUACUUGGGGCAUUCCCCAAGUAAUAACAUAUUCCCGAAGUGAGAAUUCUCAGCAGGACUUGGUUGCUGGUGCACCUACGGGUCUUGAACUGGCUCAUUGCUGCCCCAUUUCUUAUGUAGCACUCCAAAAUCUUCUUAAAAGUCCCUCUCUCCAGAAUGCAAAGCUCCAGAGGCCCAACUAAGUUGGUUCUCCUCGACACAACGUAUCCAUGAUCGACGAAAGAUGCAUCCAAUUUCCCUGCAGCAUUCGCUCAGAACCCUCUCUUCCACUUCCCCUUUGAUCUCCCGGUAAAUUAUGUAGUAACCAGGUUGCUUCUCAAUGUCAGCAUGGCUCGUGAAAUCAACUAGCUCGCCUCUCGCCUUGCUCAGUAUCUGUGAUCCCCUCUCCACCACAAACUAUAGGUCUUUUUCUGUGUUUCUGUCUAUGUUUACAGUUAAAAUUAGCUUCCUUCUGCAUAUAAAGUUCAGUUUUGGAGUUCCUUUGUAAAAAUCAGCCACCUUCACCACAUCUCCUAAUCUAUACCUAUAAAGCGUUGAUCAUAAUGUAGGACAUGAGAGAGUGAUCAGUUAGUUGAAGAAAUCAACAUCAAAUGACAUAUACAAUCAAAAGAAAAUAACGGCAUAAGAAUUAAACAGUGACUAGUGACCACACAAUUAAUUGAACAUUACCAUAAGGUCCACAUAUAAUUAACAAUAAACUAUAAUGACAGUGAUGGCCCAUGUUUCAUAAAUUUCUAACCUACUUUCUUUAAUUGUACAAGAGCAUCAUCAAUCAUGAAAACGAAUUAGAUUUUUCCCAAGAUCUUCUGUCCUUAAAAUCAUUGACAGUCCCUGACGUAUUCCAAAACUUCACGUUGGCUUGUUGUAGGAAAAAAUAGUAAAAGUACAUUUUUUGCUCUUUUGUCUAGAUGUUGUCAAAUCAUCACAUGGCUAAAAUUCAUGUGAUGUCUGUCUGUGAAUUGGGCUUUAUAUUAUAAAACAUAUGAUGAUAUAGAGAGAUAUGUGAGGUGUUGUUAAAUCAUCACAUGGGUAAAAUUCAUUCUCAUGUUUGUGAAUUGGGCUCUAGAAAUAGACAUAUGACAAAUGCACAAAACCAUAACAUUAGCACUUGUAUAUCUCAGUUGUUGAUGUAUGGAGCGAAAGUAUAUAGAGCGAAAGUACUCGUUAAGAGAUGCGUGGAUUGAAAGUAGUAGUUAUACAUUCUCAAUUGUUCUCAAAACUAUUCCAUUUUUAACUCCUCAUAUCGAUGGUUCAUUUUUUUAUGUAAUGACGACUGGUAUGUAAUCAUCAUCUCCUCCACCAGGAUUUGGUGUGUAUUUAUUUUUCAAUGUGUUCAAGUGUGUAUUUAUUUUUUCCUUCAAUAAAAUAAGUGAUUGUGUUUCUACAAAUGUACCUUGUAUGAAGUUGAGAACAUGAGAAUUCCCUCAUGGAAAUAUAAAUGGUUGAGUUGUGCUUGCCAAUGUAAUAAUAUUUAAUAAGACUGAAAUCUCGCAGUGGCCAACGUUUUUAGGUAUGAUUCUCGGGGACCUUAUAAUUAAUUGAACUAUUUUUUUUUUCAACUUUAAAUGUGUAAUAUUUUGAUAUGUUUAACUGUAUAUUAAGAUUUGCCCAAGGUAAAAUAAGUCAUUCUGUUUCCAUAAACUCUUCUAAAUAUUAUCAAAAGCCAAAAUAAAGAUUUCUGCAUUUCAUAAAAAUACUACAUAAAUAUAGCCAUAUAUGCAUUUACAUAGGGGGUCACGUGCCUUAAGUGACCAUUUUUUUUACGGUGUAUAGGGGGUCACGUGCCUUAAGUGACCAUUUAUUGUGCGUAAAUGAAGGUCGAGAAAUUUUUGCGAAUGGAGUGUAUGAACUAGAAGAACAUGAGUUCUGUUAAAGGGUUGGAACUACUUGCAUUAAAAAACAACUACAUUUGCUCCUGUUACCUUCCCCAUGUAUGUUUGAAAAAUAAUAAAUUAAAAAUUUUACAAUCAAAAUUUAAUAUCAGAAUACAUUUAUAUUAUACUAUAUGCUCUAGUCAAACUUUAUGUUAUUUUUCUUAAUCAAUAUUUUAUUUUUAAUAUAUAUUUUUAUUUUCUUAAUCAUUUUAAUCUAGGUAAUUAUGUAUAAUUUUUCGAACUUAAAUUGAAUGAAUAUAUAGAUAUAGAUAUUUUUAUACAGAACUUGACGCAUGGCAAAGAACUAGUUGCCGUUCACAAACACCUUCAGACAAUGACUAACCCAAGCUUUCUUUCAUUCCAUGACAAAUAUACCCCUGGCGAACCGACUUACCCUAUAUCUCUAUCGAGGUUGAACCUCCCUCUGCCGUGCGGCGCUCCCUCAUCUCUCUCGGUCUCGUCGUCUCUGCCGUCCGUCUUCGCCGCCCAACCGAUGUCUGUGGAUCCUAAGAAGCUUAAAUCGGCAUGCCCAUAAACGUACAGAAAAUGGCAGUGGCAAGAUCUGUGGAUCAAGAUCUAACAUUCAACCAUCGACAGAGAAGACGAACAAAAUGGAAAUAAGUAACAUCUAUGCUCCACCAAAAAACAUCCAAUCCAUCAACAGCAUCCCAAUCUAUGCUAUGAAAAACUUGUUAAAUAAAACUCAAUUUGCUGAGGCGCCCUUUAGCCUUUUGUUUUGUAUUUUUGGUUUCCGCUCCCCUUUUUGAGCGCUUUAAAUAAAUUCUUACUUAUCAAAAAAUAAAAAUAAAACUCAAUUUGGGCCA